CAUGCAGUCGAGCGGUACAGAAGUAGCUUGCUACUUUGCUGACGAGCGGCGGACGGGUGAGUAAUGCUUGGGAACAUGCCUUGAGGUGGGGGACAACAGUUGGAAACGACUGCUAAUACCGCAUAAUGUCUACGGACCAAAGGGGGCUUCGGCUCUCGCCUUUAGAUUGGCCCAAGUGGGAUUAGCUAGUUGGUGAGGUAAUGGCUCACCAAGGCAACGAUCCCUAGCUGGUUUGAGAGGAUGAUCAGCCACACUGGGACUGAGACACGGCCCAGACUCCUACGGGAGGCAGCAGUGGGGAAUAUUGCACAAUGGGCGCAAGCCUGAUGCAGCCAUGCCGCGUGUGUGAAGAAGGCCUUCGGGUUGUAAAGCACUUUCAGUCAGGAGGAAAGAUUAGUAGUUAAUACCUGCUAGUUGUGACGUUACUGACAGAAGAAGCACCGGCUAACUCCGUGCCAGCAGCCGCGGUAAUACGGAGGGUGCGAGCGUUAAUCGGAAUUACUGGGCGUAAAGCGUACGCAGGCGGUUUGUUAAGCGAGAUGUGAAAGCCCCGGGCUCAACCUGGGAACUGCAUUUCGAACUGGCAAACUAGAGUGUGAUAGAGGGUGGUAGAAUUUCAGGUGUAGCGGUGAAAUGCGUAGAGAUCUGAAGGAAUACCGAUGGCGAAGGCAGCCACCUGGGUCAACACUGACGCUCAUGUACGAAAGCGUGGGAGCAAACAGGAUUAGAUACCCUGGUAGUCCACGCCGUAAACGAUGUCUACUAGAAGCUCGGAACCUCGGUUCUGUUUUUCAAAGCUAACGCAUUAAGUAGACCGCCUGGGGAGUACGGCCGCAAGGUUAAAACUCAAAUGAAUUGACGGGGGCCCGCACAAGCGGUGGAGCAUGUGGUUUAAUUCGAUGCAACGCGAAGAACCUUACCUACACUUGACAUACAGAGAACUUACCAGAGAUGGUUUGGUGCCUUCGGGAACUCUGAUACAGGUGCUGCAUGGCUGUCGUCAGCUCGUGUUGUGAGAUGUUGGGUUAAGUCCCGCAACGAGCGCAACCCCUAUCCUUAGUUGCUAGCAGGUAAUGCUGAGAACUCUAAGGAGACUGCCGGUGAUAAACCGGAGGAAGGUGG
rnacentral:rRNA from 1 species